rnacentral:siRNA from 1 species
AGGUUUUUGCCGACCUAUCUGUAU